CUUUCUUCACUUUGAUCAUAUUUGUCCUGAGGACUGUUCCUGGACUCAACUUCAUUAUCCAGAAACUAAGAGUGGGGGCAGCAGAAAACUAGAAGUCACAAGCCUUAAGUUUCCAGCCUCGUUUUUUGUUGCAGGUAGAAGAUUGUGAAC